rnacentral:rRNA from 1 species
GACAGAGGAUGCAAGCGUUAUCCGGAAUGAUUGGGCGUAAAGCGUCUGUAGGUGGCUUUUUAAGUCCGCCGUCAAAUCCCAGGGCUCAACCCUGGACAGGCGGUGGAAACUACCAAGCUGGAGUACGGUAGGGGCAGAGGGAAUUUCCGGUGGAGCGGUGAAAUGCGCAGAUAUCAGGAGGAACACCGGUGGCGAAGGCGGGUCUCUGGGCCGAUACUGACGCUGAGGAGCGAAAGCGUGGGGAGCAAACAGG